UACAAUGGAAGGCAGCAGGCGCGUAACUUAUCCACUACUCUCUGUGAGAUAGUGACUGAACAUAAAAAGACUCAUCUUUCUAGAUGGGUUAUUUCAAUGAGUUGAACUUAAAUAGUUCUUCGAGGACCCAGUGGAGGGCAAGUCUGGUGCCAGCAGCCGCGGUAAUUCCAGCUCCACUAGUGUAAAUCAUCAUUGUUGCGGUUAAAAAGCUCGUAGUUGAAAUCGAGUCAUGCAGCUUUGAAACGGCUUUGCCGAUAUUCUUAGCGGUGACUAUACUAUGCCAGUAUUUCAGCAGGUUACUUCGGUGCCUGUUGUGUCUGGCGAGUUUACUUUGAAUAAAUUAAAGUGCUUAAGACAAGCGUUUGCUUGAAUAUCUUAGCUAGGAAUAAUAAAACAGGACUACGGUUCUAUUUAUUGGUUCAGAAUUCGUGAUAAUGAUUAAUAGGGACAGUUCGGGGGCAUUCGUAUUUCUGCGCGAGAGGUGAAAUUCGGUGACCGCAGGAAGACGUCCUGAAGCGAAAGCUAUGCCAAGUCCGUCUUCUUUAAUCAAGAACGAAAGUCAGAGG
rnacentral:rRNA from 1 species